rnacentral:rRNA from 1 species
GACAGAGGAGGCGAGCGUUGUUCGGAAUCAUUGGGCUUAAAGCGCGUGUAGGCGGCUUCGUAAGUGUCUUGUGAAAUCCCGUGGCUCAACCACGGAACUGCUGGGCAUACUGCGAGGCUUGAGGUUGGUAGAGGUGCCUGGAACUCUUGGUGGAGCGGUGAAAUGUGGAGAUAUCAAGAGGAACGCCGGAGGCGAAAGCGGGGCACUGGGCCAAAUCUGACGCUGAUACGCGAAAGCGUGGGGAUCAAACAGG